rnacentral:rRNA from 1 species
AUACAGAGGGUGCAAGCGUUAAUCGGAAUUACUGGGCGUAAAGCGCGUGUAGGCGGCUUAGCAAGUCGGAUGUGAAAGCCCACGGCUCAACCGUGGAAGUGCACUCGAAACUGCUUCGCUAGAGUCCUGGAGAGGAAGGUGGAAUGCUUGGUGUAGAGGUGAAAUUCGUAGAUAUCAAGCGGAACACCGGUGGCGAAGGCGGCCUUCUGGACAGUGACUGACGCUGAGACGCGAAAGCAUGGGGAGCAAACAGGAUUAGAAACCCCAGUAGUCC